rnacentral:rRNA from 1 species
UGGGGAAUUUUGGACAAUGGGGGAAACCCUGAUCCAGCCAUCCCGCGUGUGCGAUGAAGGCCUUCGGGUUGUAAAGCACUUUUGGCAGGAAAGAAACGUCAUGGGUUAAUACCCCGUGAAACUGACGGUACCUGCAGAAUAAGCACCGGCUAACUACGUGCCAGCAGCCGCGGUAAUACGUAGGGUGCAAGCGUUAAUCGGAAUUACUGGGCGUAAAGCGUGCGCAGGCGGUUCGGAAAGAAAGAUGUGAAAUCCCAGAGCUCAACUUUGGAACUGCAUUUUUAACUACCGGGCUAGAGUGUGUCAGAGGGAGGUGGAAUUCCGCGUGUAGCAGUGAAAUGCGUAGAUAUGCGGAGGAACACCGACGGCGAAGGCAGCCUCCUGGGAUAACACUGACGCUCAUGCACGAAAGCGUGGGGAGCAAACAGG